ACACUUACCUGGGAGGGAAGACACCAUGAUCAUGAAGGUGGUUUUCCCAGCUUGAGUCUUAGUCAUUGCAUUCCGGAUGUGCUGACCCCCUGCGAUAUCCCCAAAUAUGGGAAACUUGACUUCAUAACUUCUGGUGGUGUGGGACUAUGAUCCUGUUCUCCCCUG